rnacentral:rRNA from 1 species
CCCUUAGAUGUUCUGGGCCGCACGCGCGCUACACUGAUGCAUUCAACGAGUCUAAAACCUGCUCUGAUAGGGGUGGGUAAUCUUUUGAAUGUGCAUCGUGAUUGGGAUAGAUGAUUGAAAUUUUUCAUCUUCAGCGAGGAAUGCCUAGUAAACGCAAGUCAUCAGCUUGCAUUGAUUACGUCCCUGCCCUUUGUACACACCGCCCGUCGCUCCUACCGAUUGAAUGAUCCGAUGAAUAUCAUGGAUUGAGGAUGCAAGUAGGUUCACCUAUCUUCAUCUUCGAGAAGUGAAGUAAAUCUUAUCAUUUAGAGGAAGGAGAAGUCGUAACA